CAGGUUGGUCGGGCAGUCGCGGUCCUGCGUUGUCGGGAUCGAGGAAAGUCCGCACUCCAAAGAGCACGGCGUCGGAUAGCAACCGGGGCGGGGAACCGCUGAAAGGCGCGAACCUGCCGGAAACGGGCCACAGAAACAAACAGCCACUCCCUUCGCCCUUCGGGGUCUGAUAGGAGCGGUGAUGGUGAAAAGGUGGUGUAAGAGACCACCGGCGCGCGCAGUAAUGCGUGUGGCCAGGUAACCCCCGCCGGGAGCAAGGCCAAGCAGGGACGAAAUUGUCUGUGGACGAUGGGAGACGGCUCGUCUUCGCAUGUGCCUUUCCCUCUUGUGGGAAAGGCCAGUCCCGGGUAGGCUGCACCGAGCGAUGUGGCGACACGUCGCCCAGAGAGAUGACUGCCC
rnacentral:RNase_P_RNA from 1 species